rnacentral:rRNA from 13 species
UUGACCUCGGAUCAGGUAGGAAUACCCGCUGAACUUAAGCAUAUCAAUAAGGCGGAGGAA